CGGAAGUUUUCGGAUGGAAGCAAUAAACCUUAGCGGCGGACGGGUGAGUAACGCGUGGGUAACCUGCCUCAUACAGGGGGAUAACAGUUAGAAAUGACUGCUAAAACCGCAUAAGCGCACAUUGUCGAGUGACAGAGUGUGAAAAACUCCGGUGGUAUGAGAUGGACCCGCGUCUGAUUAGCUAGUUGGUGAGGUAACGGCCCACCAAGGCGACGAUCAGUAGCCGGCCUGAGAGGGCGACCGGCCACAUUGGGACUGAGACACGGCCCAAACUCCUACGGGAGGCAGCAGUGGGGAAUAUUGCACAAUGGGGGAAACCCUGAUGCAGCGACGCCGCGUGAGUGAAGAAGUAUUUCGGUAUGUAAAGCUCUAUCAGCAGGGAAGAAGAAAGACGGUACCUGACUAAGAAGCCCCGGCUAACUACGUGCCAGCAGCCGCGGUAAUACGUAGGGGGCAAGCGUUAUCCGGAUUUACUGGGUGUAAAGGGAGCGUAGACGGCUGUGCAAGUCUGAAGUGAAAGCCCAGGGCUCAACCCUGGGACUGCUUUGGAAACUGUGGAGCUAGAGUGCUGGAGAGGUAAGUGGAAUUCCUAGUGUAGCGGUGAAAUGCGUAGAUAUUAGGAGGAACACCAGUGGCGAAGGCGGCUUACUGGACAGUAACUGACGUUGAGGCUCGAAAGCGUGGGGAGCAAACAGGAUUAGAUACCCUGGUAGUCCACGCGGUAAACGAUGAAUACUAGGUGUUGGAGAGCAAAGCUUUUCGGUGCCGUCGCAAACGCAAUAAGUAUUCCACCUGGGGAGUACGUUCGCAAGAAUGAAACUCAAAGGAAUUGACGGGGACCCGCACAAGCGGUGGAGCAUGUGGUUUAAU
rnacentral:rRNA from 1 species